UCUGGUUGAUCCUGCCAGUAGUCAUAUGCUUGUCUCAAAGAUUAAGCCAUGCAUGUGUAAGUAUAAGUAUUGUACAGCGAAACUGCGAAUGGCUCAUUAAAACAGUUAUAGUUUAUUUGAUACUUGAAAGUUACAUGGAUAACCGUGGCAAUUCUACAGCUAAUACAUGCUUCAAAACCCGACUCUUCGGAAGGGUUGUAUUUAUUAGAUAUUAAGCCAUCCCUUCGGGGCUGUGAUGAAUCAUAAUAACUGAUCGAAUCGAGGCUUGCCUUGAUAAAUCAUUCAAGUUUCUGCCCUAUCAGCUUUAGAUGGUAGUGUAUUGGACUACCAUGGCUAUCACGGGUAACGGAGAAUUAGGGUUCGAUUCCGGAGAGGGAGCCUGAGAAAUGGCUACCACAUCUAAGGAUGGCAGCAGGCGCGAAAAUUGCCCAAUCCCGAUUCGGGGAGGCAGUGACAAGAAAUAACAACCCAGGACUAGUUCCAGGGAUUGCAAUGAGAACAACUUAAAAACCUUAUCGAGCAACAACUGGAGGGCAAGUUCUGGUGCCAGCAGCCGCGGUAAUUCCAGCUCCAGUAGCGUAUAUUAAAGUUGCUGCAGUUAAAAAGCUCGUAGUUGAAUUUCUGCUUGUUAGAGUCAAGUCCUCACGGAUGAGAUUUCUUCGAGCAUCUGUUUGCAAUCAUAUGUUCGGUCUUCAUUGAUUGACUAUGUGAGCAAACGUUUUACCUUGAGAAAAUUAGAGUGUUCCAGGCAGGCUUCAGCCGGAAUACAUUAGCAUGGAAUAAUGGAAUAGGACUGGGGACUAUUUUUGGUUUGAGGCUCCAGUAAUGAUUAAUAGGAACAGUCGGGGGCAUUAGUACUUGACAGUCAGAGGUGAAAUUCUUGGAUUUGUCAAAGACUAACUAAUGCGAAAGCAUUUGCCAAGCAUGUUUUCAUUAAUCAAGAACGAAAGUUAGGGGAUCAAAGACGAUUAGAUACCGUCCUAGUCUUAACUGUAAACGAUUCCAUCUUGGAAUUGGGCGGAUAUAUUAUGAUUCGUCCAGCGCCAUAAGAGAAAUCAAAGUCUUUGGGUUCUUGGUGG
rnacentral:rRNA from 1 species